rnacentral:lncRNA from 14 species
GGCCAUGGUGUUGUUGGCCAUGGUGUUGUCCAUGGCGCCGUCCCCAUCCCUGCACAGCACCUCAUGGGUCUGGAGCCUCUUGACGUGGAUGAAGCUCUUCCCGCAGUGCCGGCAGCCCAGGCCCCGGCGGCCCCGGUGCAGCUUCAGGUGGAAGGUGAGUGCCGGUGCCGAGGCGAAGGCACGGCCACAGAGCCCACAGCCGAGGGGGGGGGGCGAGGAGGGGGAUGGUGGAGCCAAUGGGGCCGAGGAUGGGGAUGGUGGAGCCAUUGGGGUCAAUGAUGGGGAUGGUGGAGCCAUUGGGGUCAAUGAUGGGGAUGGUGGAGCCAACGGGGUCAAUGAUGGUGAUGGUGGAGUCAAUGGGGUUAAUGAUGGUGAUGGUGGAGCCAAUGGGGUCAAGGAUGGUGAUGGUGGAGCCAAUGAUGUUGAUAGUGGAGCCAAUGGGGUCAAUGAUGGUGCCAAUGGGGUCAAGGAUGGUGACGGUGGAGCCAAUGGGGUCAAGGAUGGUGCCAAUGGGGUGAAGGGUGUUGGUGGGGUCAAUGGAGUCAACGACGGUGAUGCUGAUGUCAAUGGAGUCAACGAUGACGUCAGUGAUGAUGUCACCGGUGAUGGUGUUGAUGACGAUGCCAACGGUGCCAAAGAUGAUGAUGUCAAUGAUGACGUCAAUGGUGCCAAUGAUGCUGCAGCUGCCGCCAACGGUGCCAAAGCUGCUGCUGCCGCCGCCAAUGGUGAUGAUGAUGACGAUGAUGACGUCAACGCCAACGGUGUCAAUGGUGCCAACGAUGGUGAUGACGUCAAUGCCAACGGUGUCACUGACGUUGAUGCCGAUGGCGUCGACGAUGAUGACGUCAUCCCCGAGCGCGUUGCCGAUGAUGACGUCAGCGCCAUUGGUGCUUCCGAUGCCGAUGACGUCACCGAUGACGUCAGCGCCAUUGGUGCCGA